CGUCUUUCGAGGACUGGAAGAGAGUGUUUUGAGAGUUGAGUGUGAGAACUUUGAUAAAUGGAGGAUCACACGUAUUAUUCAGCACAAGAAAGAGCGAGGAAGGGCGAACCUUCCCCUUCAAAGAAGCGAAAACGCGAAGAAGCCAAACGACUUCGAGACAGACGAAGACAGAAAACACGAGUAAACAUCGGCGUGGCCUUUCAUCGGUGGAAAUCACUAAUGAGGGACAAACAUUUCAACAGUGACGCCGGAGUCGCCUGCUUUCUGCUUCACAGCUAUGAGCGAGGUCCCGCAACAUCGACCCCUAUGAAGGGAAAAACCCCUCAAGGCGCAGCUCCAGCAUUGUCCAGCAUAGGUACUUCAAGUGGGACAGACAGGCAAGUAAUUUCAGUGAAUUAACUGUGCCGUCCUAAUAUGUUUGAUUAUAAGUAAAGUAGCUUAUUUAUAAGUUUUUCUUUCUAAAUUCAUGUUUCCUCUCCGUAUGUGUGAUAUAUGGAUCAUCAUCACAGUCUUGACAUGUGGCAUGGUGCCAAAAACCUGGCCAAAAAAAUUGCUGCAGUAAGUUUAAUAAGUGGAUCAUGUUAUUACCUACGUAUCUGUCUUAAAAUUGAUUUGCCUUACAUCGGAGUAUUCAGCAAUGUGACAUUGAUGGCAGAGAUUAUGCACACUUUCAUUUUAAUCAAAGACAGCAAAAGUUGAUUUCUGGCUGAAGGUGUGUUAAUACCCAUGUCUAAUACUAUGUUUGGUUUGUUUGUUUGUUUGUCUCAUCAAGGCAGCAAAGAUAAAAGGACAGUCCCUUCUCCUCAACUGGCUAAAAGACAUCAUAAACCAUUUUUGGUGGUGCUGUAAGACAGCUGACACAACCGAGGAGUUUCUUGUAGGCACACAAUUUAUAUAUUUUUUUCUCUCAAUCAGUUAAUUCAAUGCCAUAUAAAUGCUUGAUUUAUAGUGCUCUUGGUUUUCGCAGACACUGUGGACUGGUAUCCUUCAUCAUGUUUGUAAC
rnacentral:lncRNA from 1 species